GUAGGUGAACCUGCGGAAGGAUCAUUAUCGAGUUAGGGUACCCUCCGAGGGCCCGACCUCCAUCCCGGUGUCUAAACUUACCACUGUUGCUUCGGCGGGCCCGCCUGUAAAAGGGCCGCCGGGGGUCUCCGUACCCCUGGCCCGCGUCCGUCGAUAGCCCACAACAAACCCUUGAUUAACCGUGUCCUGUCUGAAUACAAAUAAAAUAAAGCACAAAACUUUCAACAACGGAUCUCUUGGUUCUG
rnacentral:misc_RNA from 1 species